rnacentral:rRNA from 1 species
AUGGGCGAAGCCUGAUGGAGCACGCCGCGUGAGCGAAGAAGGUCUUCGGAUCGUAAAGCUCUGUUGUAAGGGAAGAACAAGUGUAGUAGUAACUGGCUGCACCUUGACGGUACCUUACUAGAAAGCCACGGCUAACUACGUGCCAGCAGCCGCGGUAAUAA